UGCAGAAUCCCGUGAACCAUCGAGUCUUUGAACGCAAGUUGCGCCCCAAGCCUUCGGGUCGAGGGCACGUCUGCCUGGGUGUCACGC
rnacentral:rRNA from 1 species